AGACACAGCCCUAACAUGUACAUGUGUACAGGCCAAUAAAAGCGACGACCGUCCUUGGCAUACCGGCGGUUUCUUUGCUCGAUAGGGUUUCUACCUCCCGGCGUUCCUUUGAUCGUUCAGCGAUCGAUCUCGUUCUUUUCCCCGUCGGCGGUUUUUCUUAUCGUGAGGGUUUUUUUCUUCGCGUCGUUUCGUUGAUCAUUCAGCGUUCUCGUUCGCCUUGGAUUGCAGGAUAUGUACUCCCGGAAGCCGAAGGAGGAUGGAUGGCGCCCCUGGAGUGCUUUCAAGGGCCCUUAGACCGACGAGGAGUUAAAUUUUUACCGAUUAGACUAAUGUAACAUCGGAUUCAACCAUCAACGGUGCCGUAUGUUUUGCUCAAGGGUUCGACGUUACGGUUCUUGAUUGGAGCUGCAACCUAACGCAGUUUUCAGCAAGAGUUCGAAGUUUUGGUGCCAAAGUGGGGUGGGGUUGGAGGGGCCAAACGAGGAUUACAUCCCUUUUUUGGCAUGUGGGGGACUUGGGCCCCCAAGUUCUUCAGAGGGUCGGUGUUACAAGCCUUUGGUUCCUGUACAGCCUUUGACAGCGCCGCCUUCACAUUGACAAGCUCCUUCUUAAUUCUGCAGUUAAAAGUUGCAACCGUAGAGUUUUGGGCACAGCCUAAAUGCAUGGUGCCAAUGGGAAUCGAACGAUGUUAGUAAUCGAUUCCUGGGAGAUUGAGAACUCAGGAGUCGUGGAAGAACAAAAUGGUAGAACUGCUGUUUAUAGAGUGAGAAGGCGGGUUGGGGGUAUACUUUUGUGGUAUAAAAGAGCAAACAGAAAAUUGCUGGUUCAGCUGUAGUAAAUCGUGGAGUUUGCAUGGCGAGUCUAGCACGACCUCCUCGACGAGGAGUUGAGGAACUUGAUGCAGUCUUCGAUGGCCUCCGACAGGUGAGUCUCUUCAGGAGCAGCGAACCUCUGUGGAGUCAUGCUGGAAGAAACCUUGGACGGUGGCUGCCGCCGGCUUCCGGAGAUGAAGUCUAAGGCCCUCGACGUUUUGCGGAAGAAUCGUAUCGCCGAGAGGCGUGCGCUGUUGAGUAGCCGAGAUGAGAAGCCCCUGCGUCCGCGAUCCUCCUCCUGAUCCCCGAAAUGGAUGUCGGACGUUCGAGAGACCGUCGGCUUCGCAUGGAUAUUGCUGUCGAGGCUGAAGCCGACGCUCCUCUCGCUCUUGUUCAACAUCUGAUCUGGCGUCCAAGAACGGACUUGCCGUAGGAGGGCUGGCGGCGAGACAUUUAUGGCGAGGCUUCCGCACUGUGCCAAGAGAACACCAAAGGGAAAGGGAAAAAAGGGAGCGUUGAAGAGACUACAGAGAAGGAAGUGGGUUGGACUGUCAGUGAGCAGACGGUGCCUGCCUGCCUGCUCGCUUGAUGGAAGAGACUGGCAGCAGUGGUGGACUAAAAGUGGGCGUCGUUGUGGAGCACUGACUGGGCUGGUAUAUACUUGGAGUCAUGCUUUGGUCGAUGGCACGAGAAUCUUAUCAGCCUAGAAGCAAGCGAAAGCCCAAAGCCCCCAGAGGAGAAGGGGACGGUCAGAGAGGAAAGGGUCGUGAUACUUUCACGAGACGAUCUCAUUUCUUUUGAGGUGCGCACCCGCCCCAUUCCCCUCCCCCUCUUCUUUCUGAAAUGGCGUGCAUCGAUUUCAAAGCUUCCAUGGAGCGAGAGCGCUUUGCUUUGGGUCCAUGGGCAAGACCAUCAUUUUGCCGGGGCGUACUGCAUGCAGGUUAACGUACGGUAUGAUGAAUCGGAUCCAUCUCGCGUUCGUACAUCAUCAGUGUCUCGAGCAUGAUGGGGGUACGUACCUGUGUAUGAGAGUCAUGUUAAGCAGCUCAAAUCCCAACGGGUUAGGCCCAUGUGGUCGAACAUCUGAUCAUAGGGGAGGUUAUCGGUCGGAUUUCUCUACUUUUUUUCUCUUUGGUUCAUUGUCGAGUGUCGAUGUUGGACUGGGUGUUUGACCAUGUGGGUACGAGGAGCAGGCAUAAAGAAAACGGAUGGGUUACAUCAGGUAUCUGAAAAAGGGCGAGGAAAAGAAAACUCAUUAAUAUGACUAGUGAUAAAAACAAAAAAAACAAAAAUACUAGUAUAUGACUAGGGAGAUCAUAAAAUUGUUUCGUGUUUGGUAUUAAUAUGUGACUAGGGAGAGAUCAUCAACAUCUAUCUAUAUAGUUGACGCCAACUGACACAAGGUUAUUUAUUAUUAUCAUUGAUCUUCUACUAGGAUGAUUUGGGGAGCUGAAGUACAUGGUUGUUCUACGAAUUGUAUUCCUCCUUUUAUAAGUUUGAUUCAUGUAUUCCUUCAUUCACAUGCGGUGUUUAAUAAUCUAUUGCUUUUUGUUCUCUAA